GACGAAGGGGGCUAGCGUUGUUCGGAAUUACUGGGCGUAAAGCGAGUGUAGGUGGUUGUCGUAGUCAGGUGUGAAAGCCUUGAGCUCAACUCAAGAAAUGCACUUGAUACUGGGCAGCUAGAGGACCGGAGAGGAUAGUGGAAUUCCCAGUGUAGUGGUGAAAUACGUAGAGAUUGGGAAGAACACCAGUGGCGAAGGCGGCUCACUGGCCCAUUACUGACGCUGAGGCACGAAAGCGUGGGGAGCAAACAGG
rnacentral:rRNA from 1 species